GUGAGUUAGUUAGCCAUAAGCCACUCAAGAUCGCAAUUGAGCAACCAACACUGAAAUAAUGGCGGAGAUGGGAAGUGGAAUUGGAAGCAAAACAGCGGCAGUAGCAGUAAUGCUGGUGGUGCUGGUGGGACUAGGAUGCCCUGAAUGGUCAAGGGCUAUGAGCUUGUGCAACAUGGACGAGAAGGGACUAAUGGCAUGCAAGCCAUCAGUGACACCACCACCGCCCGACCCGGUCGAUCCCACCUCCGAUUGUUGCGAUGCCCUCAAAGGGGCGGACUUGAAAUGCUUGUGUUCUUAUAAGAACUCCUUCACGUUGCCCUCUCUUGGGAUUGAUCCUGACCUUGCCUUGGCACUCCCAUCCAAAUGCAACCUCGCCCUUCCUCCAGAUUGUUAAAAGGUACGUCCGAGGAGUAUACAUGCUGGCUAUGGCAUUCAUUAUAUGGAUCACAUAUAGUUAAUUGGUUGAGAGCUGGGACUGCAGUUUCAUGGAGUAGUACUGUUUUAAUUAGCAUCGUCGUUGUAUGUAUAUGGUUUGUAAUAGCAACCUGAAUCAGCAUGGAAGUCUGAAGAUCCCUACUGUGGUGUUUGUUGUGUGGUGUAAGAAUUAAUUCCUCUCUUUUAAGUCUUUGACCACGCUUAUUCUGAAA